GGAAUUAUGCCUGAAUGCCUAAGGACCACUUUGAUAGAGUGACAAACGGGGGUUAAAACCCCCCUAAUUCCU
rnacentral:tRNA from 1 species